AAAUGGACCAACUGGGAACGAAACAGAGCCUUUGGUUUGUGGCAACGAAGCAACAUCCAACCUUCCCCGCUCAGUUGUUUCUGAUGAGAAAUACGGUGUCAUCAUGCUGCUCAUCGUUGGAACUGAUAAGGUUUGUGACGCAAUGAGAAGAGAACGUGUGCUGGACUGCGAGUGCGCUGCGACUCCGGUGCAAUCAAUCUCAACCCAUCAUCCUCGAUCACCUCCAAAUUACAAAACCAUGGAAUGCAUUAGGAAGAAAUCCCUGAGCGGCAGCGUAUAAGGGCGGU